rnacentral:rRNA from 1 species
AACGAACGCUGGCGGCAGGCCUAACACAUGCAAGUCGAGCGAGGACUUCGGUUCUAGCGGCGGACGGGUGAGUAACGCGUGGGAAUGUGCCCUUCUCUACGGAAUAGCCCUGGGAAACUGGGAGUAAUACCGUAUACGCCCUAUUGGGGAAAGAUUGAUCGGAGAAGGAUCAGCCCGCGUUGGAUUAGGUUGUUGGUGGGGUAAUGGCCUACCAAGCCGACGAUCCAUAGCUGGUUUGAGAGGAAGAGCAGCCCCACUGGGACUGAGACACGGCCCAGACUCCUACGGGAGGGAGGAGAGGGGAAUCUUAGACAAUGGGGGCAACGCUGAUCGAGCCAGGCCGCGUGAGUGAUGAAGGCCUUAGGGUUGUAAAGCUCGUUCAGCUGGGAAGAUAAUGACGGUACCAGCAGAAGAAGCACCGGCUAACUCCGUG